rnacentral:rRNA from 1 species
UACGUAGGUGGCAAGCGUUGUCCGGAUUUACUGGGCGUAAAGAGCGCGCAGGCGGUCGUUCAAGUCGCGUGUGAAAGCCCCCGGCUCAACUGGGGAGGGUCACGCGAUACUGAUCGACUCGAAGGCAGGAGAGGGUAGUGGAAUUCCCGGUGUAGUGGUGAAAUGCGUAGAUAUCGGGAGGAACAACAGUGGCGAAGGCGGCGACCUGGUCCUUUUACUGACGCUGAGGCGCGAAAGCGUGGGGAGCAAACAGG